GUUUGGGCUCUUCUGUUCAACCCAACGUGCAGACAGCUCACUUCUUAAGCAGACUUGUUUGCUCUGUACUGCUCAGCAGCGUUUUGCUUCAUGAGAUUGACUUUCUAAACCCUGAACACAGAGGCGAUCGGAGGUGCAGGAGUGUACAUACAAAUCGUAAUUGCACAACAGUAAAAGGUUAUUAUGGACGCCCCUCAUCAUCAUCAUCAUCAUCAUCAUCGGCCCAAAUGGAUACCGGAGAGACUUUAAUGUGACAUUUGUACUCAGGCAGCAGCUUUAACAUUGCUGUAUGUCAGUGACCACAAUGCAGGAGCAGACUGAACCAGGACUACAAACUAAAAACUGCAUUUCGUUGCCCUGUACCUGUGACAUGUGCAAUGACAAUAAAGUUGAAUUCUAUUCUAUUCUAAACCUGCUCCAUCUUCUCAUCUCUGGAGAUUUCCAUUUACAAAGCACCAACAACUCAAAGGAGCUCCCCUCAGACUCAGACCUCUGUACCACCCAGUGAAAGCAGACAGAUAUCCAACAUGUUCAUGUUAACUCCAGAAUUAACUGAUAAAAAAAAAAACAGUACAAAGGUUAAAGUA